CGGCGGAAUUAAAAUAGUCUUUUUCACGAGGCUGACAAAAGUUCACGCCAGCAAAUAGUGCUUUUUAGGUCCGCGGAGGGGGCAGGAGGGGAGGGAGUGAGGCAGCCCUUAAUAAUCAUCUGAACGCAGGCUCGUUUUUGCUGAUAUUUCAGAGUGGUGGCUUUUGUUUUUCCCCCCCUUUCCCUUCGUAUUUUGGAGUCUUUAAAUAAGCAGCACGGCAGAGCAGCCUGCACCGCACAGCGGUGUGGUUGUAUAACUCGUGUUUCACCUCAGCUGAACUUGACGCAUCUGGUUCACCGGCGGCGCGAGUCGCACGGCGCAGUCUGCUGUCUGUCCCCACUGAACCGAGCUGCAUGGCCGGCCGAGAGAGACGCGGAGAAAGAAAGGGGGGAAACGCAACACUUUCGUGACAUAGCAGCGGCUCUCGGAGACCGAGUCACGGGAUGACUCCUCCACAUCUCAGUCUGCAAAUAUCGUCCCUUUCUUGCUUUUUUAAUUUCCUGCUGUUUCGUGGCUCCAGACACAAAAAGGAAGACGAGUCACCGUGGGCUAAAGGAAAUAUAAAGCCGGCCGACUUGGACACGCCGGAGCAGACCAUCCAACUUGAACUUGAGACGAAUCGGUGCAGGGCAGCACAUCGAGGAGAACGAGAACCCACAGGGCCUCAGACAUUGUAAAGCAGAGAGGAUAUGUGGACAUACUGUGUGCAGCCGCGGAUGGGUCCAGCACAGCCGCUUCAUCCAGGAUAGCUCAUUGCUGUGGUGUGGGACAGUUACUUCAAAGUCUCAGUGGAGUCAUUACUUGGGAGUGACUUUAUUUUUCCGUGCCAGACAUUGAUAUCAAGCAUCGAGACGAGGAAACCUGAGAGGAGGCGAGUUGACAGACCGCACAGACCUGCUCAGGGAAGAUGACCUGCCAAGCUCAAGUGACAUGCAGAGGAAGUGUUUUGAGUGUAUUUUGUUUUGUUUUUUAAUUACCACACAUUUCGCAUAUUAAGCCUCUCCUUUAAAUGUAUAAAAAAAAAAUAAGGAACCUCAUGAUCAGCUGGGGCCUUUCUGCAUGGAUGUCCUCCAUGUGCCUGUGUGGGUUUUUCUGGGUACUUUCCUCCCACAGUGCAUCUUAAGUUGGGUAAAUAGUGAUUAUAAAUGUGUCUGUGGAUGUGAUUGUGAGAUGUUGUUGUGUGUCUGCGUGUGUUAAACCUCUGAUAGAUUGGCAGCUGGGUCAGGAUUUAACAAGUUUAGAAAAAAAACAAACGGAUUGAACAAAACAGAAAUAAAUAUAUGUUUCAUUUCUUAAAAUGUAAAACAAGCACUUUUUUGGACAUGCAGUGUUUUAUCUGUGAAUUAAGUAAGUUUAAGUGCUGCUUCAUGAUGAUGUUUUGCUAAGACUACAGAACUGGCUUUAUUUAAAAUUUUAAACAUUUAAUUACGUUACCGUUUUCACAUGACAUUGAAUAUAGCUGCCUACAUUACACACAGUACAAUACACUAACAGUACAAGCACACAGAAGUUCAGCUUUGACCUUUGGAACGAUGACAAAAUCAACUUUAUGAAGAUCCACCUGUUUUUUCUGCCUUUAAUUGGAUGCUAUGGUUUUUAUCGGCACAUUUGUGAUGCUGUUGUUUUAUUACAUUGAAUUGUGGUUGAAUUUUACACACUUAACUCCACCCAUUACAGCUUAUCUGUAGUUAGUUUUUUUUUUUUUUAAAGUAUUGUCCUAAUUUCACAAAGGUCAGUUGUCGUUGAGUUUCUGUUCCCACAGGUCGACUGGGUGCGACUGGAGAGCCGUGCGAGAGUUAAACUGUCCUUUGGGGUGAGGUAGUAGGUUGUAUAGUUUUAGGGUCAUUCCCAAGCUGUCAGAUGACUAUACAACUUACUGUCUUUCCUGAAGCGGCUGUAAUAACAUCAUCUUCAUCAUCGUACCCACAAGAGGAUAAGAAGCAUGACUUUUGAAUUUGGACUCGUUUGUUUGUUUAACCUAAAAUAAUAUGCAGAUUUUUGUGGGAAAUUGUUCUCUUUUUAUUGAUGCCUGUUGUUGUUGUUGUUUUUUAUUAUUUUUAAAAAAAAGGUAAGUUCUGCUAGUCUGAAGUUGUAACCAGUGAAGCUUGUUCUCACAGCGUGUAGUAAAUUUAGCGAAGUAAUGUGAAAUCUAGCCACUUUUACUUUUGCAGCUUUUUCAUGUAACUUUUCCUGCAAGUGCAUCCUUUUAUGUGCAGCAUGUAACAUUUCAACUGACAUUAUCAUGGCAAUCCUCAUUGCAAUAAUAAAUAACAAAGUUGCUUUCAGUUUCAUUUAUGCAGCGAUGCGGCUCGCGCACAAAUCCUCUCCGUACCCGCCUGGGUGCUUUAUGAUGUUCGUACAGGGUGAGGUAGUAGGUUGUGUGGUUUCAGGGUUGUGAUUUUACCCCAUCAGGAGCUAACUAUACAACCUACUGCCUUCCCUGGAGGGCAGCAAUACAUCACAGGAGCGCGCGCAUCUUUGUCAUUUUCCCUGCCUCUGAAAAAUGGGACAGUCUCUUUUGCAAAGGCCCACAAAAGACUGCCAUUCGAUCUCAAGGGUUCACGUGUAUGGGUGAGUGGCGCUCACUCACACGACGCAUUUCAGAGAGACAAUCACUUUACACAUUUGUAACUCACACUGGGAAGAUGGCAUAAAAAAGGCAUUUAUUUAAUUUUAUUAGCAUUCAUGUUUUAAUACUGCUUGUACUUUUCCCCCAGUAAUUAAAUAAAGACUGGACAAGAAAUAAUUGCUGAGCAAA